AUGUUUUAUACCACUUUGUUUGAUGACUGUAUGGGAGCAAGAUAUUCCUGUAUGACUUCAGAGAAAAAGGUGUGUGCAUCUGGAAGGGAGGUCUUUGUGUGGCAGCAUUUCAGCUGUGUACAAGCCAUGUAGAUACACGGUGCAAAAUUAAAUACACCCAGACACACAUACCCCUCUCUUUAUUACCGCCAAUCAUUUUUCACAUACACAAGUGUCUAAGAGUGCACGUAUUGGUGCACUUUCAAAAAAUAAAAUAAAUAGGUAACUCAUGUUACUGAUAGUAGUCAUGGUGUUGAUGUACUUACAUUAACUAGGAAAUUGCAAGUGAGAAAAGGAAGUGUGUGUUAAUUUCUACCACUCACCACUGAAUUCAGGUUUCCUUGUGGUGCAUCCUUCUCGUGGCUUCAGCAGAUUUUCAUCUCAGUGGCCUGUCUGUGACUUUAGCUGUUCUGCUACGAUACCACUUCACACCUUGUGAUCAUGGACGUCAGAUAUUCUGAGGACUAUUAUAACCCAAGUAACCACAGAUAUCCUGGGGCACCGUAUUCAACCAUUCGCCCUCCUGUUUAUUAUGAUGACCUGAUGAUCAGCAUCUCCCUCAUCGCUGGUGUGUGUGUAAGCCUGCCAGCUUUGAUUUGGGCUCUUCAUGUUCUUUACACUCUCCACAAACAAGGAGGCCAAAUUUCAACCUUCAUCAUCCUCCUCAUCAUCAAUGACUUGGCUGAGCUGCUUGCGAGUGCAAUUAUAUCAACAUAUUUAAUAGACAGCCUUGUAAAGUCCAGUGCUACAAGAUCUUUCAAUUCUUCCACUGAAGUGUAUUUUACAGAUAUCAGGAUUUUUAUUCAUUUAUUUAUUACAUGUAGAAUCUGUGGUCUUUUCCUCCACCAGCUUGUGGCUCUGAAGAGCGUGCUUUCUCUCAAACACCAGCUCUGCUCUGCUCAUGUCUUCUCUCCUCUCUGCUCCACCAUUUCCUGCAUCAUUCUGUGGCUGAUUGUCUUUGGAUUGCAGUUCAUAAAUAUGUGGUUCAAUGUGAUUUUUAGCUUUUUGCCUUGUUGCAUUUUAGUCAUCACAUGCAUACUCACUUGCAAAGCCUCUCCUGCAUCUGACCACAUCAAGCCCAGCUCAGCAGUGCUGAUCGUUUCCACAUUCACACUUAUCACUUUCUGCACAACAGCUGGCCUUGUGCUUAUCUUCAGAUUUAAUUAUGGUCCAUUUUACUUUUAUGAACCGGAGUCACAUCUCUCAGUCUAUUUGAUCAGAGUGAUCUCAGACCCCCUGCUGUGUGUACUGGUCUGUAAGGAGCAGCUCAGGGUUCAUAAACAGCAAACUCACACAGACAUGAACACUGAUCAGAGAUCAGUUUGAGGUGAAGACCUGAGUCUAUGAAGAUAUCAGAAAAUACCAGAAAUGUUCUUAUGGUUGUCAUCAUCAGGCAGCUACCUUCUUGAGAAUUGUGGAUAAAAUGGCAGUUUGUAAAUGAAAAGAGAAGUGAAAAAUCUAUGACAUAUCAAACAACAGCAACACCAGGAAAGAAUCUUGUGUGUGUGUGUGUGUGUGUGUGUGUGUGUGUGUGUCAUUGUAACUGUCUACAUUACAACAUCGCAAAUAUUACAGCAGAUAUUUGCACCACUGGAACUUAAGCUCCCUCAGAGCCAAGAUUGAAUAUAAAUUUCCAUCAAAAUACUGCUUUUAAUUUUUAAAAUUUUGUUAUUAUUCUGCACAUACAGUAUUUAUUCUUCCUCAGUGACUGGGAUUAUAUCUACAUUAAAUUUUUUUAGUUAAUCAUAGGACAGGGAGAUGGCUUAAUUUGGGAUUAGGGGACUCUUGAUAUGUUUUUUUUUAAUUGUGUCAACAAUGUGUGUACAGUAGAAUUAAUUCCAUGUGCUUUAUGGAAAUUUUCACAUUACCUUCAUGGAAAUUAUGAUUAUUGUGUUUUAAUUAACUUCAGUUAACCACAAUUGGCUGGCCAGAUAUUAAUUCUUAUAAUCUUAUUCUGCUUGCUAUUCACAUCGAUUAAUAGCAGUCCUUAGUGCUUUUAGGAACAGCAUUUUCUUUCAUCAUUUGCAAUUCUUCCUCACUUACAGUGACCGAGCGAUUAGCCAACAUUUUACUGAGUUGCUUGAGGUGAUUAUUGAGAAAUAGUCUGAAUUUCUCAAACAAUCAGUGCACACAAUCUUCUUUCAUUGCUUGUGUAUUUCUACUGAC